rnacentral:rRNA from 1 species
UACGUAGGUGGCAAGCGUUAUCCGGAAUUAUUGGGCGUAAAGAGGGAGCAGGCGGCAGCAAAGGUCUGUGGUGAAAGACUGAAGCUUAACUUCGGUAAGCCAUAGAAACCGGGCAGCUAGAGUGCAGGAGAGGAUCGUGGAAUUCCAUGUGUAGCGGUGAAAUGCGUAGAUAUAUGGAGGAACACCAGUGGCGAAGGCGACGAUCUGGCCUGCAACUGACGCUCAGUCCCGAAAGCGUGGGGAGCAAAUAGG